GGGCGUUAAGUUGCAGGGUAUAGACCCGAAACCCGGUGAUCUAGCCAUGGGCAGGUUGAAGGUUGGGUAACACUAACUGGAGGACCGAACCGACUAAUGUUGAAAAAUUAGCGGAUGACCUGUGGCUGGGGGUGAAAGGCCAAUCAAACCGGGAGAUAGCUGGUUCUCCCCGAAAGCUAUUUAGGUAGCGCCUCGUGAAUUCAUCUCCGGGGGUAGAGCACUGUUUCGGCUAGGGGGCCAUCCCGGCUUACCAACCCGAUGCAAACUGCGAAUACCGGAGAAUGUUAUCACGGGAGACACACGGCGGGUGCUAACGUCCGUCGUGAAGAGGGAAACAACCCAGACCGCCAGCUAAGGUCCCAAAGUCAUGGUUAAGUGGGAAACGAUGUGGGAAGGCCCAGACAGCCAGGAUGUUGGCUUAGAAGCAGCCAUCAUUUAAAGAAAGCGUAAUAGCUCACUGGUCGAGUCGGCCUGCGCGGAAGAUGUAACGGGGCUAAACUAUGCACCGAAGCUGCGGCAGCGAACGUAUCACUUAAAGCGAUUCAGCGGGUUACGAUUGACGGAGCGAAGCGACGUCAAAGCGUAUACAAAGUCGAGUCGGUUUAAGGAUACGUUCGUUGGGUAGGGGAGCGUUCUGUAAGCCUGUGAAGGUGUGUCGUGAGGCAUGCUGGAGGUAUCAGAAGUGCGAAUGCU
rnacentral:rRNA from 1 species